AGAUUAUAUGCUGAUGGCCGUGCAGCAGAGGAGCGCAGAGUCUCCUGUCGGACAACAUCUCUAAGUCGCUAUGUACCAUGUUACUAGAUCCUAUGUACCCAGCCUCAACCAUUCAUCAGAAGGACUGUGAAAGCAGGAACUCUUUGAACCACCAGUGGCAGUUUCCACGGGAUGAAAAAGGGCAUAGUAGUGGAUGAUGAGGUCCUGAGACCAUAUGGGGUG